UGAUGGUGAAUGUAUUCUAAAAAAAGAAAAAAAUAAAGUUAAAUACAACAGUACAAUUUGGAAAAAAAAAAAAUCAUAACAACAACCUACUAUUUCAAUUAGCCCUUCUAUUCCACUGCCAAAAUUGAUGUUUCAUUAUACUAUCAAAUCCUAUUUCUCUCAUGAUAAGACGACUCUACAUGAAUAUUUAUGCGCUUCAUUUUGUCUAUUAGCAAAACAUACAUAGAUCUUAAAACUGGUCAUAUUUUAUUACUUCUAUUCUAUGGUGCAUCAUAAUAUGUGUUUCCCAGGAGGUUACAUUAGAUUUAGUUAUUUAAAAGUUACAAGAUCAUCCUAUAAAAAGAAAAAUCUUAAGAUAGAUCUAGCUAGGUCAGAUUUUGAAUUAGGUAGUGCUGGACUGAAGUUGCUAGACCUUCUUGUAAGUCUACCAGAUCAGAAACCUCAUUUAUGUGGCUAAAUCAACAAGUAUGCCAUUUAUUAUUAAAUAGGAUAUAGAACGAUUUACGCUUCUUAUCAUCUCAAAUUUAAGAAUCUCCAAAGUUGACCAAGUCAACAUACACAAACCUAGAGAAUACCAUUUAUCAAGAAAUUACCUGCUUCUGAUAAGUACAUUUGUGGAUGUGCCGAGGUCAACUUUCAUAUAUGACUUUGAUCUCUGUAGAUAGCUUUGGAUUUUUUUUUCUCAAAUGGAUAAACAAGUUUGGUUAGAAUGCUGGAAACCUGAGGGCUAUUUUCAUGCUAAGCCAU
rnacentral:lncRNA from 1 species